AGGGGGAACGUUCUCCCAGGACUAU
rnacentral:tRNA from 1 species